rnacentral:lncRNA from 1 species
UGAAUACCUGCAGAUGAGGGUCACUGGAAGCCAUCUUGAAGGUACAGUCAUGUGCCGCAUAAUGACAUUCAGUCAAUGACAGACUGCAUAUAUGAGGUGGUCCUGUAAGGUGAUAAUGGAGCUGAAAAAUUCCUACUACUGAACGACAUCAUAGCCAUUGUAACAUCAUAGCACAACCAAUCACCUUUUCUAUAUUUAGGAGCAAAGGCAAUACAAUGGAGAAGACAGUCUUUUAACAAAGGUGCUGGAAUAACUGGACAGCCAUGCACACACACAGAAAAGAAUCGAGACACAGACUUUACAUCUUCACAAAGGUACAACACUGAAGGCACCGCCCAUGAAAGAAACAACUGAUAGGCUGAACUCCAUUAAAAUUAAAAGCUUUUGCUCUGCAAAUACAAGAGAAUGAGAACACAAACCGUGAUGCUGAAGUUACAAGUCUGAACCACACGUAGACUAUCAUAGCAAGAUGGCUACAGAAGUUCUGGAAAUAUACCAGACGUGGCAAUGCUGCAGAGGAAGGAGGGAGAAUAUGCCUUUCUGCAGAUCUUUCUUGGAGGAGAGAUAAGGAGUUCAUAUGCUGGAAUGAUAGUGACACAGGAGUUUAACACUCCUACAGUAUCCAGAGCCUGGAUCCCUGAGUCAUCAGAUGGAGAAGAACUACUCAGGAGAGUCAUCCAACCUUCAUAGACAGUGGCAUGAGUGGG